rfam:Oryza sativa Japonica Group DNA, chromosome 3, cultivar: Nipponbare, complete sequence.
AAUAAACACAGCCAUGAGUUUCUAUGCUAAACUUUGAUCAUCCGUCUUAUUUAAAAUUUUUUUAUGAUUAGUAUUUUUAUUGGUAUUAGAUUAUAAAACAUGAAUAGUAUUUUAUGCGUGAUUAUUUUUUUUAGUUUUUUCAAAAAAAAAAAAAUAAACAAGACGAACGAUUAAAGUUGGACACAGAAACUUAUGGCUGCACUUAUU